GGCUCAGAACGAACGCUGGCGGCAAGCUUAACACAUGCAAGUCGAACGGAUUAUCUUUUGUAGCUUGCUAUAAAAGAUAAUUAGUGGCAGACGGGUGAGUAAUGCAUAGGAAUCUACCUAGUAGUAUGGGAUAGCCACUAAAAAUGGUGGGUAAUACUGUAUAAUCCCUGCGGGGGAAAGAUUUAUCGCUAUUAGAUGACCCUAUGUUAGAUUAGCUAGUUGGUAGGGUAAAGGCCUACCAAGGCGAUGAUCUAUAGCUGGUCUGAGAGGAUGAUCACCCACACUGGAACUGAGAUACGGUCCACACUCCUACGGGAGGCAGCAGUGGGGAAUAUUGGACAAUGGGCGCAAGCCUGAUCCAGCUAUGCCGCGUGAGUGAAGAAGCCCUUAGGGUUGUAAAACUCUUUCAGUAGGGAAGAUAAUGACGGUACCUACAGAAAAAGUCCCGGCAAACUCCGUGCCAGCACCCGCGGUAAUACGGAGGGGGCAAGCGUUGUUCGGAAUUAUUGGGCGUAAAGGGCAUGUACGCGGUUCGGUAAGUUAAAGGUGAAAUGCCAGGGCUUAACUCCUGGAGCUGCUUUUAAUACUGCCAGACUAGAGUCCGGGAGAGGAUAGCG
rnacentral:rRNA from 1 species